ACUGUACAAAAUUUCAGACAAUUUGGUUUAGUUUAAGCCCCUUAACUAUUCACGCAAAGUUACAAUUUUCCCGAAAAAUCGGCUAUUUGCAUGCUUAAUUAAUGCAUUUGCCUAAUUUGCAUAUGUCAGCAAUAUGCAAAUUAGAUAAAGGCAUUAUUAAGCAUGCGAAAGGCUGACUUUUUAGAACAAAAUGAAUAGUUAAAAGGCUUAAACUAAACCAAAUUGUCUGAAAUUUUGUACAGUGAUUAAAAACCCGACAAAUUUUUAAUCUAUUAACUCAAAAUAUGAUUACAG